CUGUUGACAUUAGAUUUGCUUGCAUUCAAUCCUCGCCAACAUAAUUUCACAACAGGAGGCUAAGACUUUUGCUGCCUUCCCAAUUUUGGUGUCACUGACCAGACUAGUACUUGCUACCCA